UGCAGGUAUGGGAAAAUUCUGUAAAAGAUUAAUGCCAGCUUCGUGCUUGUAGUAGUAAAUUUGAUGGGCCUGCAAUCCUAAAGGUAUCCAGGAGAUGAAUUUACGUAAAUGGUUAUACAUAAAUCUAUGUUCAAAUCAACAAAUGAGAUGUGCUUCAAAUUCAAAUCUGAUGGACAUCAUCAAUCUAGAGAAGGUACGGAUGAGAUCGAAUUAGUUGGACCAUUGGAUGGAGGAAAGUUUAAGGAAUAACCAUAGAGAUGUGCCGCCUAGACAUAUGCAUGUUGACGAUGAGAAGA